rnacentral:rRNA from 1 species
CAGUAGCCGCGGUAAUACGAAGGGGGCUAGCGUUGUUCGGAUUUACUGGGCGUAAAGGGCGCGUAGGCGGGCUGAUCAGUCAGGGGUGAAAUCCCAAGGCUCAACCUUGGAACUGCCUUUGAUACUGUCGGUCUUGAGUUCGAGAGAGGUAAGUGGAACUGCGAGUGUAGAGGUGAAAUUCGUAGAUAUUCGCAAGAACACCAGUGGCGAAGGCGGCUUACUGGCUCGAAACUGACGCUGAGGCGCGAAAGCGUGGGGAGCAAACAGGAUUAGAUACCCCAGUAGUCCCUGUCUCUUAUAU